CUGCGUAAUAACGCUGCGCACACGUCUAACGGAUGCUUGUACGUGCUCGUAUUAGUGAUACCUACAUAGUUAAUUAAUAAGGACCAUAUAACACCGUCAAAAUCGCAAACGGAAAGGAAUAUGAAGAUUACAUUCUGAUAAAUCAGAAAGAGCAGUUUAUAAAGGACAGAAAAAUCAUGACGUGGCGCAUAAAACAGUCAGUUAACCACACUCAGCUUCCGAUCAAAAUAGUGCAUUUUCACGCCGAACAAAGAAAGCAGUUAACCAACAUUUUAUUACCGCAAUGUGACAUUUGAAGUUUAACUAUGAUUUCAAGUCUGAUAUUUGUUUACAAUUUGAAUUAGACCUGUUUGUAAAAUGACAGUAAUAAUAAGAAUA